UACGUAGGGAGCGAGCGUUGUCCGGAUUCAUUGGGCGUAAAGAGCUCGUAGGCGGCUUGGUAAGUCGGAUGUGAAACCUCCAGGCUCAACCUGGAGUCGCCAUCCGAUACUGCCAUGGCUAGAGUCCGGUAGGGGCCCACGGAAUUCCUGGUGGAGCGGUGAAAUGCGUAGAUAUCAGGAGGAACACCUGUGGUGUAGACAGCUUACUGGACCACUUCUGACGCUGAGACACGAAAGCGUGGGUAGCAAACAGG
rnacentral:rRNA from 1 species